rnacentral:rRNA from 1 species
AGACGGGGACCCGCACAAGCGGUGGAGCAUGUGGUUUAAUUCGACGCAACGCGAAGAACCUUACCUACUCUUGACAUCUACAGAAGAACGCAGAGAUGUGUUUGUGCCUUCGGGAACUGUAAGACAGGUGCUGCAUGGCUGUCGUCAGCUCGUGUUGUGAAAUGUUGGGUUAAGUCCCGCAACGAGCGCAACCCUUAUCUUUAAUUGCCAGCAUUCAGUUGGGCACUUUAAAGAGACUGCCGGUGUUAAACCGGAGGAAGGUGGGAUGACGUCAAGUCCUCAUGGCCUUUAUGCUUAGGGCUACACACGUGCUACAAUGGGUGGUACAAAGAGAAGCCAACUCGCGAGAGCGCGCCAAUCUCAAAAAGCCAUCCUCAGUUCGGAUUGGAGUCUGCAACUCGACUCCAUGAAGUUGGAAUCGCUAGUAAUCGCGGAUCAGCAUGCCGCGGUGAAUACGUUCCCGGGCCUU